rnacentral:rRNA from 1 species
AUUGAACGCUGGCGGCAGGCUUAACACAUGCAAGUCGAGCGAGCGGCGGACGGGUGAGUAAUGUCUGGGAAACUGCCUGAUGGAGGGGGAUAACUACUGGAAACGGUAGCUAAUACCGCAUACCAUCAGAUGUGCCCAGAUGGGAUUAGCUAGUAGGUGGGGUAAUGGCUCACCUAGGCGACGAUCCCUAGCUGGUCUGAGAGGAUGACCAGCCACCGUUGAAAUAGGAAGCGAGCCAAACCCCUACGGUAGGAAGCAUUGGGGAAUAUUGCACAAUGGGCGCAAGCCUGAUGCAGCCAUUCCGCUUGUGUAAAGAAGGCCUUCGGGUGUUAAAGCACUUUCAGCGAGAAGGCGUUACUCGCAGAAGAAGCACCGGCUAACUCCGUGCCAGCAGCCGCGGUAAUUC